rnacentral:tRNA from 1 species
GCCGACUUAGCUCAGCUGGUAGAGCAUCGCAUUCGUAAUGCGGGGGUCACGUGUUCAAGUCACGUAGUCGGCA